AACCCAACCUGGGUAAUCAGGUAAUUUUCCCUUUUCUUGUUAGUUCAUUUUUCAUACCCUCUCCUCGAUUUCACACCUGGAGAGAGUUCACCUCUCAAAUAGAGCACCGCCUCUGAGAUAUACGAGGAGUACGAAAAUUACAAUCGAAGAAGCAUAGAAGAAUUCAAGCUUUUGAAAUCUACUGAAUCAACCAAGUAAUCGCCCAACCAUGGCUGAAGAAGCAGGUAUGUUUCGAGUACAUCAAACUAUUGGAAGUGUUCUUUGUUGCAAGUGUGGCAUCCCGAUGUCACCAAAUGCUGCAAAUAUGUGUGUGAAGUGUUUGCGUUCUGAAGUUGACAUUACAGAGGAUCUACAGAAGCAUGUGAUCAUAAUGCAUUGCCCUGAGUGUGAUAAGUACUUGCAGCCUCCAAGAACUUGGAUAAAGGCCCUGCUGGAGUCUAAGGAACUCUUAACAUUUUGUGUGAAGAGGUUGAAGAACUUGAACAAGGUUAGGUUGGUACAUGCAGAAUUUGUUUGGACUGAACCUCACUCCAAAAGGAUCAAGGUGAGGCUGAGGGUUCAGAAGGAGGUCCUUAAUGGGGCAAUACUUGAACAAGCCUAUGUCGUUGAGUAUGUUCAGCAAGACCACAUGUGCGAGUCGUGUUCAAGGGCUCAGGCCAACCCUGACCAGUGGGUAGCUGCUGUCCAACUCAGGCAGCAUGUUUCUCAUAGGAGGACUUUCUUCUAUUUGGAGCAGGUUAUACUUCGGCAUGAUGCUGCUGCUUCUUGCAUAAAAAUUACACAGAUGGAUCAGGGAAUUGACUUCUUUUUUGCUAAUCGGAGCCAUGCUGUAAAAUUCGUAGAAUUCUUGGGGAAAGUUGCCCCUGUCAGGAGCCGAAACGAUAAACAACUUGUUUCCCAUGAUUCUAAGAGCAACAACUACAACUAUAAAUACACAUUCUCCGUUGAAAUCUGCCCAAUUUGUAGGGAGGAUCUGAUCUGUCUUCCACCAAAAGUAGCUACUAGUUUGGGAAAUUUGGGUCCACUCGUCUUGUGUGCAAAGGUGAGCAACAGCUUGGCUUUACUGGAUCCAUUUACUCUUAGGCAUUGUUUCAUGGAUGCAGACCAGUAUUGGAGGGCCUCCUUUGCAUCUCUACUUUCAAGUAGGCAGUUUGUGGAAUAUAUAGUAUUGGAUGUGGAGCUUGUGGCAUCUGAAGUCAAUGUUGGAGGCUCAAGAUAUGCUUUAGCUGAUGCACAAGUGGCACGUGUAUCUGAUUUUGGGAAAAAUGACAAGAUUUUCAAUAUAAGAACCCACCUUGGCCAUAUCUUGAACCCUGGGGAUUAUGCUCUUGGCUAUGACCUCUAUGGGGCUAACACUAAUGAUAUUCAACUGGACAAAUAUAAAGGUCUUAUUCUCCCAGAAGCUAUUCUAAUAAAGAAGAGCUAUGAAGAGAAGCGUCAAAAGCGGCGUGGGAAGCCUCGUCAUUGGAAGCUUAACUCCCUCAAUAUGGAUGUAGACACCUCCACCAGAGGUAAAAUUGAUGAGGAUAAGAUGAAUAAAGAGUAUGAAGAGUUCUUGAAAGAUUUGGAGGAGAACCCAGAGUUGAGGUUUAAUAUAUCAUUGUACCGUAAUAAGGAGUACCAACCUUCAGAAAUGGCAUCGGUGACUGAUGGGGAGGAUAUACCUUCUGUGCCUCUGGAGGAAUUGCUUGCUGAUCUUGAUCUAGAUGAUGACGAAGAUGUCAACGACAGCAUGAGGGAGUGAUUUGAUGCUUUCUUUUUCAGAUGGGUUCCAUUAGAUUUUUUAGGUCAAUAUUAUCUGUGUGUGCAUCAUGUUGGUUUUCUAUCCUCGGGCCAGCUACUCCGUAUUUGAUUGACAAGUGAUAAUUAGUAUUUUGGAUGAAGCCUGCUUUUCAAUGCUUUAUCAUGGAACCUGGCAGAUCUUUUAGAUCUUGAGCAAACUUGGUUUAUCAUUUGGUUAUUGGAGUAGCUAGGUGUGAAUGGUAGUGAGUUUGAGAAGCUUCCAAGGGUUUAUUUGGUUCUCUGCUGUAAGGAAUUCUGAAUAUUGAAUAUUGAAUAUAUAUAUAUAUAUAUAUAUAUAUGCAUGAGAGAGCAGGGAAUGAAUCCUGUUAUUGGGAUUCCAUUUAGCAGCAUAAAUAAAAUCAAAGGAAGUGUUGGAAUUUAUUUUUUGUUA